rnacentral:rRNA from 1 species
GAUGAACGCUGGCGGCGUGCCUAAUACAUGCAAGUCGAGCGAACGGACGAGAAGCUUGCUUCUCUGAUGUUAGCGGCGGACGGGUGAGUAACACGUGGAUAACCUACCUAUAAGACUGGGAUAACUUCGGAAAACCGGAGCUAAUACCGGAUAAUAUUUUGAACCGCAUGGUUCAAAAGUGAAAGACGGUCCUGCUGUCACUUAUAGAUGGAUCCGCGCUGCAUUAGCUAGUUGGUAAGGUAACGGCUUACCAAGGCAACGAUGCAUAGCCGACCUGAGAGGGUGAUCGGCCACACUGGAACUGAGACACGGUCCAGACUCCUACGGGAGGCAGCAGUAGGGAAUCUUCCGCAAAGGGCGAAAGCCUGACGGAGCAACGCCGCGUGAGUGAUGAAGGUCUUCGGAUCGUAAAACUCUGUUAUUAGGGAAGAACAUAUGUGUAAGUAACUGUGCACAUCUUGACGGUACCUAAUCAGAAAGCCACGGCUAACUACGUG